ACCCUGAGAAAAAAAAUAGGGAAUCCCACAGUUUUGUUUCAUAAGGUCACUUUUCUGACUUGACUGCACUUGAAGGGAAGUCAGAAAAACAGAAAAGAUAAAUAAAGCCUUGUUGUACAGUUGGUUAGUAUAUGAUCUUUUUAUACUGUCUGUAUAUGAGAGGAAAUUACAAAAAGAACCAUGUGUAAUGCUAACAGAAUGGGGCAGAAGGAAUUUUAAGUCAAUUAUUUUUUUUCACCAUUGUAUUUUCAUUUUAGAACAAGAGACGGUGGCCUCACCAGUUGUCUCACAUUUACUGUUAUUCAUCAUAGUGGGAGUGCUUGUUGCUGUAUUCAUUAUUGUGUUGGGUUCACUUAUAUGGCAUUUUGGAAAGUGCAAACACAGACCAGGUCGCAUGACAAAUCUAAGCUUCCGGCAUGUGACUUUGGGCCGAAGCGGCUAUAAUGAGGACCACGUGGAAUGUGGAGAGGGAGACACGAGCAGCCCUGACCAAGAAGAGAAUGGAAAUCCAGCUUCACAGGAACCAGAGGCUGCAAACUCCACUAAGCAAGAGAAUGAAGCUUUCAUUAAGAAUGCUAAAGGGACUAAAGCGGCAACAGCUGCAAGCUUUUACACUGAGCAACCUCUGUCUUUAAAUAUCUCCACUUUUCAAGGUAAGCAGAGACAAAACCAAACCAAACCCCAAACCACAUUUCAAACAGGAAAGCAGAUUAUUUAACCUAACUGAAGAGUUUCCUGUGACAGUAAAGUCCAGGGCUCUCUCAGAUGCGAUUGCAGCGUAACUGUAAUGAGCUCUAUUUCGAGUCUUGCGGGAGGCUGAAGCUGCAGAUCAUGCGGUGCUGCAGGACUCAGUGCAUAGUCUGUGCUCCGGGUGACUAUAUUUGGAUAACACACACAUAU
rnacentral:lncRNA from 1 species